rnacentral:rRNA from 1 species
UACGGAGGGGGCGAGCGUUAUUCGGAAUUAUUGGGCGUAAAGGGCGCGUAGGCGGCUUGACAAGUCAAAGGUGAAAUCCCUCGGCUCAACUGAGGAACUGCCUUUGAAACUGUCUGGCUUGAGGCCGGGAGGGGGUAGCGGAAUUCCCAGUGUAGCGGUGAAAUGCGUAGAUAUUGGGAGGAACACCAGUGGCGAAGGCGGCUACCUGGACCGGUUCUGACGCUGAUGCGCGAAAGCGUGGGUAGCAAACGAGG